rnacentral:rRNA from 1 species
ACGCACGCUGGCGGCGCGCCUCACACAUGCAAGUCGAACGCGCGAGAGAGAGCUUGCUUUCUUGAGCGAGUGGCGAACGGGUGAGUAACGCGUGAGGAACCUGCCUCAAAGAGGGGGACAACAGUUGGAAACGACUGCUAAUACCGCAUAAGCCCACGACCCGGCAUCGGGUUGAGGGAAAAGGAGCAAUCCGCUUUGAGAUGGCCUCGCGUCCGAUUAGCUAGUUGGUGAGGUAACGGCCCACCAAGGCGACGAUCGGUAGCCGGACUGAGAGGUUGAACGGCCACAUUGGGACUGAGACACGGCCCAGACUCCUACGGGAGGCAGCAGUGGGGAAUAUUGCACAAUGGGGGAAACCCUGAUGCAGCGACGCCGCGUGGAGGAAGAAGGUCUUCGGAUUGUAAACUCCUGUUGUGGAGGAAGAUAAUGACGGUACUCAACAAGGAAGUGACGGCUAACUACGUG